rnacentral:rRNA from 1 species
GACGAACGCUGGCGGCGUGCUUAACACAUGCAAGUCGAACGAAAAGACGGAAAGAGCUUGCUCUUUCCGGAAUUGAGUGGCAAACGGGUGAGUAACACGUAAACAACCUGCCUUCAGGAUGGGGACAACAGACGGAAACGACUGCUAAUACCGAAUAAGUUCCAAGAGCCGCAUGGCCCAUGGAAGAAAAGGUGGCCUCU